rnacentral:rRNA from 1 species
GUCGAGAAUAUUCGUCAAUGGGCGAAAGCCUGAACGAGCGAUGCCGCGUGUAGGAUGAAGGCCCUCGGGUCGUAAACUACUUUUCUCAGGGAAGAAUUUCGAUGACGGUACCUGAGGAAUAAGAGGUUACUAACUCUGUGCCAGCAGUAGCGGUAAUACAGAGACCUCAAGCGUUAUCCGGAUUUAUUGGGCGUAAAGAGUGGGUAGGUGGUCGUGUUAGUCAGAUGUCAAAUCCUUCGACUCAAUCGAAGAACUGCAUUUGAAACGGCACGACUUGAGGCGGUGAGAGACCAGUGGAAUUCACGGUGUAGUAGUGAAAUGCGUUGAUAUCGUGAAGAACACCAAAGGCGAAGGCAGCUGGUUGGCACCGAUCUGACACUGAGCCACGAAAGCGUGGGGAGCGAAUGGGAUUAGAUACCCGGGUAGUCC